UCCUCCAAGUGAGGUCCUCCAAGAUGGGCUCCCAUUUCAGCUCCCAUGUGGGGGUCCCCUCUCCCCCCCAUUUCAGCUCCAUUUUGUUCUCCGCCAUUUUGGGCUCCCAUUGGCGGGUCCCCCCCAAUCCAGACCCCCCCAUUAUUUUUAAGGGGGGGGGGAAUCCCCCCUUCCACCCCUCCAUUUCAGCUCCCAUUUUGGGGUCCCAUUUUGUGCUCCCCUUUCAGGACCUUUCGGGUUCCAUUUUGUUCUCCGCCAUUUUGUUCUCCGCCAUUUUGAGCUCCGCCAUUUUGUGCUCCGCCAUUUUGAGCUCCGCCAUUUUGGGCUCCCAUUGGCGGGUCCCCCCCAAUCCAGACCCCCCCAUUAUUUUUCGGGGGGGGGAAUCUCCCCUCCA
rnacentral:lncRNA from 1 species